rnacentral:lncRNA from 10 species
GGCUGCUGUGGGGGAGGGGGGGGUGAGGUUCCCAGGUGAAUAGAGUUGUGUACCUAGGAGGAUAAUGGCUGCCUCUGCUGAGUCAUGCAGGUUGUUAGGGAAGUGAGGGAAAGCUGGCAGUCACAGGCCUCACCCAGCUCCCAUGCAAUCCAAAUGGCCAGUCUCACUCUCACCAUGCCCCCUCUAAAGCAUUGAGUCUGUUUCCAAGCAGUGGGUAAGCAGGGGUGAGAACUUGCCGCAGGCUACCCACCUCCCAGCUGUGAAAGAAAAGGGCUUUCGUUCUUCCCCCACCUGUGGAGUCUACACGCUGGAUUUGUGCCCUCCCUUGAGUUCUGGCCAGGAGGCUUCUCCACCUGUUCAAAUUGUUAUAAAGUUCAGCUGGAGACUUCCUUCUCUCCGUGGCAUUUUCCUCAUGCCUCUGGCCACCCUCCCAAAGGAUCCCUGUGAGGCCAGGCAGGAAUGGCCUGCUUGGGGACCCAGCAAGCUUCUAGGGCCUUUGCUGCUGCUUCCUCUACCCCUGUAUUUCGCUCGGCUCUCUAAAUGGACUCAGCUCCAGCUACCUAAGAUCGGAACCCUCUGAUAAUUUGUGCUGCUAUUUUAAGAUCCAGUUCCAUUCUACAACUGGCUGAAGCAUGAAGUCAACUAAAAUAAACUGAAUUGAGUGGAACUGAACUGAACUGAAGUGAAAUAAUGUGAUUUCCAGUAAACCUGACACCUUAAGGACAGAACAUGAGCCUUGCCCAUCUUCCUCCCAGAGGUCCCAGCACAAUCACCGACUCACACAAUACUCUCAGUGCAUGAGUGAUGAAUUUCACUAACAGCGACCCAUCUCUCUACAUAAUCCACUCCGGUUUCACCAGAGCUGAGAGUAUCAUGAAUUACAUCUAUAGAUAGCUGUAAGCUAAUGACCAAAGCACAUAACUGAAUUCAAACAUAUUCUUUAUUGCAGUCAGAUGUGAGAAAACAAAAUUUAGAAGACAAGCCAGAAAGGAAAUGAAGAACAUAAAGAGCCUGAAUUCUCAUCGUCAAUUUUUCCCUGACUGACUCCGUUUUCCUCUCUUCUUUCCAUUUACCUUUCUGUUCCCAUCCCCAUCAUUUUUGUAGUGUUUAUUGAGUGUCUGCUGCAUGCCAGUCAAUGUGCUGAGUACUUUUCAUGUGUUAUACCAUUUGAUCGUCACAGCAGCACACUAUUAUAAUUAUGAAUAUGAUUCCACAUACUAUAUCUAAAAUUUAACUUAAUUUUACAUAGGAGGAAGCUGAGACUUGCCCAAGACUACUCCAUUAGUAAGAUGUGAACCAAGUGAACCAUGUCUGACUCAAACCUAACCCCUGAUUCUCUGAAUCCAUAUCACCGUAGAACUCAACAGUGAAAUAUUGGGGUAGAGAUGGAUGUACCUGCUUCUUGAGCUGAAUUCUCACCAAUCCCUCAUUUCUGGUCAUUCUUAACCUUACUCCCAGAUGUGUUUGGUCUACUGCAGCCUUCGGAUCCCUACUAGAGUUUGCCUUAGGAAUCAGCUUUCUCAGACCUGUGUCUGAGAUAAAAUGUCUGGGAUAAAAUGUCAUUUAUCCUGCUUCCUGGAUUCUGAAAUUUGAUGAUUCUGUUCUCCUCUUUCAUCUCUUCUUUCUUAAACCCUUUUUUUUAAAAAAAAAUCCUGUAACUGUCAUUUACUGGAACUUCAGAGAGAAGCAGAGGUUAAUACCUAUGUUCAAUGGAUACAGGAGAUAAAAAGAAAUUAUUUAGGCAGUUAAUGAGGGUAAGAGAGUUCUUGGCAAGGCUUCCCUUUUAACACAAGCAACCCGCCAAAUCAUUUCUUUUCUAACAAAGAGCAGCCGGUAAAAUCAAGCCACAGACACAGAUAAGCAAGCUAGAAGCUUUCACAGGUAAAUGUGGCAACUGUGCCAAUAGAAACACACUACCUAAGGGCCAGGUAUGUUCAACAUGGAGGUUCCCUCUUCCCUUUUGUGGCUACAUAAGUGGUAAAAAAGCAUGGAGCCAGCCAGGUAGAGGCCUCAUCUGCAUAAUAAAAGAUUAGGGUGAGAUGUCCAGCUUCUUCACGCCCUAUGCAAACAGCACACCUGGUCUGACUAAUCUCUUGAUCCCUAUGUAAAUGAGACACCGCCUCCUCAAGCUCCUCUAUGAAAUCCCUUGCAUUUCAGUAGGAAACCAGAAGACCCACUUGGGAGCCCCAUGCUCUCUCUGCAGGAAAGAGAGCUUUUCUUGUCUCUUUUCUCUCGCCUAUUAAACCUCAGCUCUUCAACUCACUUCUUGUGUGUCUGUGUCCUUGAUUUCCUUAGUGUGAGACAACGAACCUCAGAUAUUUACCACAGACAACGUAGCCACUUCACAAUCUUGCAAAUUUUCACCAAGUCCUUUUCAUUAUUAUGUAAGGAGUUGGAACUGACUGAUGAGGGUUUGAUUGUGAUUGCCUCUAGCUCUCCCUGAUAGCAUUUGGAUGAGCUGGACAGAUGUAGGAUUAACAAAGGUCUGUAGGGUGGAGCAAAUAUGUCUCAUUACCAAGGGUAAAAUUUCAAGUGAAGAGGCUCCCAUACUAGAGCAACCACAACAAAACAAAUAACCAUGGAUUUGGGACUGAACACUAGGAAAGAGUGAAUAUAUGUUUUUGAGGUCAGCUGUGCUGAAGGCAAGAGAAGAACAUUGCCAAGUAACUUCCAAAUGUGACAUUUUUCAACCUUGGUUUAUGACUGAAAAGCCAAGAAAGACUAAGCUAAAAUGGAAUUCAGCUUCCCAGCCUAAAUAGUGGGAGAGGUCCAAAAUACAGCUAAGGAAAAUUUUACUGGGAAAGCUAGUUGUAUCCAUUUACUCUGUUCUACACAUAUCAAUUAGAAAUUUUAAAAAGGUAAGUUUGAUCAAGCUUUUAUUCCGACAUUUGAAAA